AUGCUCACUUCAGCAGCAUAUAUAUUAAAAUUGGAACGAUACAGAGAAGAUUAACAUGGCCCCUGCACAAGGAUAACAUGCAAAUUCGUGAAGUGUUCCAUACUUUU